rnacentral:rRNA from 1 species
AAUCGCAGAUCAGCAUGCUGCGGUGAAUACGUUCCCGGGUCUUGUACACACCGCCCGUCACACCAUGGGAGCCGGGAAUGCCCGAAGUCAGCGGCCCAACCGAAAGGAGGGAGCUGCCGAAGGCAGGCCUGGUGACUGGGGUGAAGUCGUAACAAGGUAGC